UACGAAGGGUGCAAGCGUUAAUCGGAAUUACUGGGCGUAAAGCGUGCGCAGGCGGUUUUGUAAGUCUGUCGUGAAAGCCCCGGGCUCAACCUGGGAAUUGCGAUGGAGACUGCAAGGCUUGAAUCUGGCAGAGGGGGGUAGAAUUCCACGUGUAGCAGUGAAAUGCGUAGAGAUGUGGAGGAACACCGAUGGCGAAGGCAGCUCGCUGGGACGGUAC
rnacentral:rRNA from 1 species